GAUGAUGAUCAAAUUCCAAUUGAACAAGCCGAAAAUAUUAAUCUAAAAUUUCCAUCAUCAAUUGCCAUAAGGAGCACACUUGAUGAUAAGUGAGUGACUUUAUUACCGGAUGAUGAAACUCAUGAUGAGAAGACGAUGAAGGAGGCAAGGAGUGCUGAGGGGAGGAAUAUAGUUAUUGCUAUGUAUAUAUAUACACCUUUUUGGUGAACGAAAAGUUGAAAAACUCAAUGGCGAGACAGAGUGAGGAUCUCGUUAACUAAGUUCUUGGCGCCGUCGAAAGAUGACCACAUUGAUAUGAACUAAAAACGUUUGAGUCCUGUGGUGCACAACAUAUCAUACACCCAUAUAUAUACACAAUAAAAACACAUAUACAUUUAUAUAAAACUUGCUCGUUUCAGCAUCCUUUCGACACGGUCUGAAUUCUCCUCCACCCCAGUCAAAUUGGGGGGGCCACCAGUGCACAUCGUUUUACACGUUCGUAACGAGAACACGCGACGGGGCUUGUUCACUAUGUUUCUUUCUCGUAUAUAUCCUUUUUUUUUUUUUUCAUUUUAUUUUUUCAAUUCUUUAACCAAUUUUUCGUUUAUUUAUAUUUAUUUUUUUCAUCAUUAUUAUUU